rnacentral:rRNA from 1 species
AUUGAACGCUGGCGGCAUGCCUUACACAUGCAAGUCGAACGGCAGCACGGGGGCAACCCUGGUGGCGAGUGGCGAACGGGUGAGUAAUACAUCGGAACGUGCCCAGUCGUGGGGGAUAACGUAGCGAAAGCUACGCUAAUACCGCAUACGAUCUCUGGAUGAAAGCGGGGGACCGCAAGGCCUCGCGCGAUUGGAGCGGCCGAUGGCAGAUUAGGUAGUUGGUGGGGUAAAGGCUCACCAAGCCGACGAUCUGUAGCUGGUCUGAGAGGACGACCAGCCACACUGGGACUGAGACACGGCCCAGACUCCUACGGGAGGCAGCAGUGGGGAAUUUUGGACAAUGGGCGAAAGCCUGAUCCAGCCAUUCCGCGUGCAGGAUGAAGGCCCUCGGGUUGUAAACUGCUUUUGUACGGAACGAAACGGUCCUGGUUAAUACCUGGGGCUAAUGACGGUACCGUAAGAAUAAGCACCGGCUAACUACGUGCCAGCAGCCGCGGUAAU